UACGAAGGGGGCUAGCGUUGUUCGGAAUUACUGGGCGUAAAGCGCACGUAGGCGGAUACUUAAGUUAGGGGUGAAAUCCCAAGGCUCAACCUUGGAACUGCCUUUAAUACUGGGUAUCUCGAGUUCGAGAGAGGUGAGUGGAAUUCCGAGUGUAGAGGUGAAAUUCGUAGAUAUUCGAAGGAACACCAGUGGCGAAGGCGGCUCACUGGCUCGAUACUGACGCUGAGGUGCGAAAGCGUGGGGAGCAAACAGG
rnacentral:rRNA from 1 species